UACGAAGGGGGCUAGCGUUGCUCGGAUUUACUGGGCGUAAAGGGCGCGUAGGCGGACAGUUUAGUCAGAGGUGAAAGCCCAGGGCUCAACCUUGGAAUUGCCUUUGAUACUGGCUGUCUUGAGUACGGGAGAGGUGAGUGGAACUCCGGGUGUAGAGGUGAAAUUCGUAGAUAUUCGGAAGAACACCAGUGGCGAAGGCGGCUCACUGGCCCGAUACUGACGCUGAGGCACGAAAGCGUGGGGAGCAAACAGG
rnacentral:rRNA from 1 species